rnacentral:rRNA from 1 species
UACGAAGGGGGCUAGCGUUGCUCGGAAUGACUGGGCGUAAAGGGCGCGUAGGCGGUUUGCACAGUCAGGCGUGAAAUUCCUGGGCUUAACCUGGGGGCUGCGCUUGAUACGUGUGGACUGGAGUGCGGAAGAGGGUUGUGGAAUUCCCAGUGUAGAGGUGAAAUUCGUAGAUAUUGGGAAGAACACCGGUGGCGAAGGCGGCGACCUGGUCCGUGACUGACGCUGAGGCGCGAAAGCGUGGGGAGCAAACAGG